ensembl:snRNA U6 U6 spliceosomal RNA
GUGCUCAUUUUGGCAGCACACGCUAAAAUUGGAAUGCUACAGAGAACAUUAGCAUGGUCCCCGCACAAGGAUGACACGCAGAAUAUAUACUGUUUCCUGUAACUG